UGGGGAAUCUUGGACAAUGGGGGCAACCCUGAUCCAGCCAUGCCGCGUGAGUGAUGAAGGCCUUAGGGUCGUAAAGCUCUUUCGCCUGUGAAGAUAAUGACGGUAGCAGGUAAAGAAACCCCGGCUAACUCCGUGCCAGCAGCCGCGGUAAUACGGAGGGGGUUAGCGUUGUUCGGAAUUACUGGGCGUAAAGCGCACGUAGGCGGACCAGAAAGUUGGGGGUGAAAUCCCGGGGGCUCAACCCCGGAACUGCCUCCAAAACUAUUGGUCUAGAGUUCGAGAGAGGUGAGUGGAAUUCCAAGUGUAGAGGUGAAAUUCGUAGAUAUUUGGAGGAACACCAGUGGCGAAGGCGGCUCACUGGCUCGAUACUGACGCUGAGGUGCGAAAGUGUGGGGAGCAAACAGGAUUAGAUACCCUGGGUAGUCCACACCGUAAAACGAUGAAUGCCAGUCGUCGGGUAGCAUGCUAUUCGGUGACACACCUAACGGAUUAAGCAUUCCGGCCUGGGGAGUACGGUCGCAAGAUUAAAACUCAAAGGAAUUG
rnacentral:rRNA from 1 species